rnacentral:rRNA from 1 species
UACAGGGGGUGCAAACGUUGCUCGGAAUCAUUGGGCGGAAAGCGCACGUAGGCGGUUCGUUAUGUCGGAUGUGAAAGCCCUUGGCUUAACCGAGGAAGUGCAUCCGAAACUGGCGAGCUAGAGUACGAGAGAGGAUCGCGGAAUUCCCGGUGUAGAGGUGAAAUUCGUAGAUAUCGGGAGGAACACCGGUGGCGAAGGCGGCGAUCUGGGUCGAUACUGACGCUGAGGUGCGAAAGCGUGGGGAGCAAACAGG